GGGAUCGGGGGUGGGAGAGGACGGGAGUCACCCCCGGCGAGGGAUGCGGGUCGCGGUGCUGGCGGGGGGAUGCUCCCGAGGCGGUGCGGGGACCGAGCAGAACCGCCCGCCCCCCCGGAGCACCGCCCGGCCGCACAACGCAGCCCCCCGGGCAGGUGGAGGGUCUCCCUCGCCCUCGCUCCUCCGGGGGCUUCGUCCCCUCUCCCGAAAGAGUGUCAGAAAAAUCAUAAGCAGCUGGUGCUUCUGUGGCCAGUGAGGAUCGGUGGGAGCAAAUGAGGUGCUCCCCACCCUGCUUGGCUUUUGGGGGCACUGGCUGUGCCUGUCCUUCUCUGCCCUUUGGGGACAAAACUGGUGUAAUGAUUGCACUUGGAUUCCUUCAGGCUCUAAACCAGACAAGAGAUAGGAACCAGGAAUCCUUUGCAAAGUCGUGUUUUAACAAAGGAUAUUCCUCUUGUUUUUCCAGACAUGCAACUUACAAUAUUUUGGAGUUGUGCCCUCUGCAAAUUGAAUCCACAGUCCUGAAAACCCGGAGCUGAUGCCAAGCAUUUUAAUCUUACCAGAAGUAAACACUGAGCACCAAUUUACAUAAAAAUCGACUUGUAAAAUUAUUUCAGUGUUAACAUUGUGACACUCUAAGUAUAUUGGGUGACUUUGGGGCCGCUCAGCGCUUUUUAAAUGGAUGCUGCUGCUACAACAGAUUCCGGUCGUGUUUGUUUUCAGGUGUUUGUAGGAAAUUAUGUGGAUUAAAAAGCUCUGCUUUAGGAAAAGCCCAAAGGAAAAUGAAAUGAAAAGAAGGAGCAUAUUCUUCAAGGACCACUGAGUCUGGAGGUCUUUUGGAAGUCUUCCUGGCAGGAGGAUUUCAGCAGGGUGGGAGGUUUGGGAGCCUGGAGGAUGCUCCAGAGGUUCAAGAGGUCUCCUGCUCCCUCUGAGGGUGGUGGCAGGUAUCAGUGAGCACAGCUGCUUGGGCACUGCCUGCAGGUCUGUGGGGGCAGAAGAGUCUCAGCAGGUGGGUUUCCCUGCUCAGCUCAGAGUGAAGAAAAAGGAGGAAUAAAUCUAGCUAAAAGCAGAUAUUUCGAGAAUUGCUCCAAAGCUGCUGUUUUCAUUCCAGAUAGGAACAAAAACAUGGGGUUUAGGCAGUUUUUAAAAUUUUUCUUCUCUUCCUCUGAGCAGCCUGGCAGGGUUUGGUCAAGCAAGGGUUUGUGCUGGCAUGUGCAGCAACGCUGGCAACCUCCUGUUCUCCAGGUAGAGCUUUGGAGGAGGAGGUUUUGGAGGGGCACAGUGGCACAGAAGAGUCUGUUUGAAGGAGGGGAUGAAAUACUUCCCUGCAUCCCUCCUGCCUGAGGAAUGCUGCUGGGUGUUGAAUAGCACAGGAGGGCAGGGAAGAGGGAUUCUCCAGGCUUGCAGGGCUCUGUCUAGACUCCCUAAUGCAGCGGUGCCUUGAACUCCUGCCACGGCCUCUCGGUGUGUCCUAUAAAUGGAAGCGGAGGAGCUUCCCACUGCCAAAGCCUCAGUCAUGUUAAUGAGACCCCAGUUCCUGUCGAAUUUGGCAGCCUGUCCCUCUAAACCAGUGAACUUGCAGCAGGUGGUAGCAAAGCUCAUUUCCUAAAACCACAUCCCCCUGGAAGCAAAAAAGCCCCACCUGACUUCCCGUGGCGAGGCGGCCGCGUCUCCCUCUGGGCUGAUGGGGGAUUCCAGGUGUGGGGAUGGAUGUUCCUGCACAGGAAACCUGGACACCAACACUCCACAGAGAUGAUAUUUGGGUUGGCACAUCACUCUUGUCAUCUUGGAAAGGUGACACUCACUGCCUGAAGCCAGUCCUGUUGGACAUGGGAAGCCUGUCCUGCUGGCUGUGUGAGGCUGCAGCCACCACAAUCCAUCUGGUUUUUGGGUGUUUCUGUUCCCUCUGGCUCCAUCAGAGCUCGUUCGGGUCACCGAGUUGGUUUUGGUUUAGGAUGCAUUUCCUUCUCCACCCUCCUUUCUCCCCUUUCUGGGAUCAAGUUUCUCACAGCUGAGCUACUCUUGUCUCUCUGUUUCCCGCUGAAGGCUGAAGCAGGGCUUGGUCACCUCUUAUUUUUCCAAACCCAGCCCAAGUAAUGAACAUCUGCCAGGAGACAGAGGUUUUCCUAAGCCUGUGGUUUGAAUAACUCAUUCUUUGCAGCCUUGCUCCUCUCCCAGGCACAUGUUGCCCAUAAGGAGCGGGAAGGACAACUCUAACCACUGGAUGCUGCCUCCUGUGAACCCACAGCCUGGGAUGAUGGGAAUGCAGUGCUGGCCAGGCUCAAAACCUCCUCAUUUCACUCUCUCUGGGGUUGUGGUGUGACCUUUCCCAUGGCACCUGGAGUGGAGAAAUGUCCUCCCUGUUCUUACCACCAGAGGAAUAAUGAAGUGGUUGAGGUAGAAAAUGACCCAGCAUCUCCCAGGUGCCAGUGCCUUCCACCCUGACUUGCAGACACACUUGGCACAGCCCUGAACUCACUGACCAGUUCUCUUCCUGCAAGCCCAGAGAAGCACCACUGCUCCUCUUAGCAGGCAAUCAGAGUCUCAGGUGUAUUUUAAAAGAGCCUGAAGUUUCCCCGAGUGUGUUGUGGUUCAUGUGCAGGCAGUUUUGGGUUCCUGGGAAGACAUUCC